rnacentral:tRNA from 1 species
GGGCCCGUAGCUCAAUUGGCAGAGCACCAGACUCUUAAUCUGGGGGUUGCGGGUUCGAUGCGUAGCUUUACGUGAAAAUCCCGUCGGGCCCA